AUGGUGGCGCUCUCCGGCGGGCACACUCUGGGCGUGGCGCACUGCCCGUCGUUCACGCCCCGCCUCAAGUUCGAGGCGGCCACGCUGGACGCCGGAUUCGCGUCGUCGCUGGCGGCCACGUGCAGCAAGGGCGGGGACUCGGUGACGGCGACGUUCGACCGGACGAGCACGGCGUUCGACGACGUCUACUUCAAGGAGCUGCAGCAGCGGAGGGGCCUGCUGAGCUCGGACCAGACGCUGUUCGAGUCGCCGGAGAUGCAACGGCUUGUGAACAUGUUCGCCAUGAACCAGGGCUACUUCUUCUACGUGUUCCAGCAGGGGAUGGGCAAGAUGGGUGCGGGCAAGAGCUUGAGCUCCCAGGUGGGUGCGGCGGAGGAGGUCGAGGAAGAGCGCCAUGACCGUGUUCGCGAUCUCCUCGACGUGGUUGGUGUCGACGUGGACGAGGCGGAGGCCGAGCUCCGCGGCCGCUGCGGCGUCCGCGGGAUCCCAAGCAGAGCAGCAGCUUCCACGGCCGGAACCAGCGCUGCGCGGCGCGCGGGAGGAAGGCCAGCGAGGGAAGGCCUGCCAGUCAUGCAGUCGCGCGCGGCCAGGAGAAAGGAAAACAAGCAGCUCAGUACUCUGUCGGCUGUGGCUGGAACACCUGGCAUCACUGCCAUCAAAACGCCAUUGCCAAAUGCCUCUGAAAUUAAUUAUAAGCAAGAGUGGCUUCUGCAGUUUUCAUUCUUCACGGCCCAGAGGUUACAGAGGUCAGAUGAUGUGUGCAAGGAAGGAAAGAUGCAGACAAGCAACGCCGAAGACGUCUUCCAAGCGCUUGAUGAGAUUGAGUUCCCAGAGUUGGUAGAGCCCCUGAGGACUGCAUUGGAUGGUCUGUGUUGUUGUCUACUUGUCUCCUCAAUUCUUUUACAGUCCGAUGUUCUUUAA
rnacentral:rRNA from 1 species